AAUUCAAACACUUUAUCUAAAAAAUUUUCCUCUUUCCCUCCUAACAAAACCUUUUAAUAAUUUUCCCCAAUUUUUUUCCCACCCUCCUAAAUUAUUAGUUUUCCCUUUGAAGUUUUGAACACAAUUAAACAUCCCCCAAAUCAAUUUACCAUUCCAAAAUCAAAUUUCAUAUUCCCACUCCUUAAACCUAACCCUUCAUUGAUUUCCCUUCCGUCUCUCUCUUAUCUCCGGGAAUGGCGACACCAUAGUAACCACAUGAUGAACGGAAUAGUGCCACCGAUUGAAGGUCUGCGAAGACGAAGAAAAAUGGGAAGCCAUUGAGAAGCGACUUGAUUUUGGUCAGGAUGAAGAACUGAUCGAAGAGGUUCACAGGUGCUAUCUCAAACACCUGACUCUGGAAAACCCCUUCCUAUGGCUUAUGGUGAUUUCAUUAAUGAGCGUCCUUCAACCACUUUUACUGUUCGAGGAGGUCUAGCCAAUACUAAAGAUGGAAACUUUGGUGAAUGAUUUUCUGAGGUAUGUGGCUUGUGUAUUGUUUUUUUAGCUUCCCAUGUAAUUUUUGGCUGCAUGUUGGUAAUUUGAAUUAGAAAUCGAUUAAGGUUACACACUUACGCUCAAUCCUUUUUGGUUUUAUAUCCACAUGAUAAAGAUUUUAUUCAUAUACGAACCUUCAAGACAAAAAGACAAAAAUCUGACACAAAUUAAACUCAUAUUUAAAACCCAAUUCGAGAUGAUUUUCCAUAUUGGCCCUAGCGGAUUCUUAGCAAUUUUUAAAAAUAAUUGUGUAUAUUGAUGGACUUUUUUACAAGGAGAAAAUUACUAGUAGUAAAUAUUGCCUCAGGCUGUGGUAUGAUAGAACUGCACCGAAUGUAGGUCACUUUGGUAUCCACAUAAACAUAGCAAAUGAGUAAUGGGUUGGACUGAGCUGUGAAGGUUAAUUUAGAAACGAGAGUAGCUCUUCUAAUUUGCACAGGUACCUGAACUCGAGAGUUCAAAUGUGAAGUCUUUGUACCGGAGAGCUCAAUCAUACAUAAACGUGGCAGAUAUGGAUCUUACAAAGCUUGAUAUUAGAAACGCCCUCAAGGUCGACCCAAAUAACAAGAAGUCACACUUGUAGAGUUUGAUGGAGACGGAGAUUACCACGUGCCUGUUGAACUUGGAGGUAGUGGUGGAAUGAGGUUGAAGUUGAGAAAAACUAGUUGCUGGAAAUGUGCAAAAGGAUUGAAGAUGAUCAUUAAAGAAAAAAAACCGAGCUUGAAACUAUGCGAAAAGAGUUUGCCAGCCAGCGACACAACUUGGAAGCUAUGGAACACAACUUGGAAGCUAUGAUACGGAAGGUUAUGAAACAAGUAGUUGAAGAUCGAGAUGAGUAGAAUGUUUUCACCUUUUUAUUAUUGUAAUUGACUGUAAAGUUAUUUAAGUUUUAACAAACAUGUUGAAGUACACACUUUGAUUAUUAAUGAUAUCUUUGUUAUUA